rnacentral:rRNA from 1 species
AACCAAUCGGUCUUUCUCUCUCUCUCUCUCUCUCUAUCCAUCCAUCUCUGCUUUUCCCUUUCAGCUGGAGGAGAUCUUGGGAGGAAAGAUAUAUAGUCCAGUGUCGUCUCUGUAGAGAGCAAAAGGGAAAGGAGCUCGCAGCAGGUACUUAAGCACUGACAUGAGUGAUCUCAUGGUCCAGAGAUACCCUCCUUCUUCUUCUUGUUCCUCCUUCCUCUCUCUUCCCGCCUCUCUCUAGGAUCUUCACCUCUCAUGCUCUUUUAGAGAGAGAGAGGGGAGAGAGAUUACUUAUAUGCAAGCUAUCGGCACGGCUAGCACGUGUGCAUGCAGGCAGAGCUGCAUCGAUUCUUGAGGUAAGCUCAUGAUGUGUGCCGGUUGCGUUGACAUCUGGUUUCUUUGUUAAAUCACUUGAUGAAGAUGGGUACCUUCUCUUUUUCCUUAUUUUUAUAGUUUGUUGAUACUGAUGCCUAUUCCACACACACAAACAUCUCUCUCAUCCUCUCUUCUUCCAGAGCUUUUGAGCUUAAGCUAGCUAGAGUAUUGGAGUUCUUCCAUGCAUACAUGCCAUGCAGCUUACCUCUCUUUCCUCCACCUCCCUCCCCCCUCUCUUUGUCUUUCCUCUAUCUAUAAUUCUGCAUGGCUCGUGGAUCCAAUUUUUUUUUUCCAUGGCAAAUCAUCCGAAAAUUUUAAAUCACUGCCCUGUUUUUUUUCAUCUUGUUAUAUAGAGUAUAUGUGUUCUUAAGUUCUUGGCACUUCUUUUUGACAGGUCAAAGCCACAACAAGCUCCACUGAAGAAGAGAGAG